rnacentral:misc_RNA from 1 species
AAGUCGUAACAAGGUUUCCGUAGGUGGUUCGCCUACUAAAGCCCCCCGCGACUAUAAAGAAAGGUUACAGUCUGCUUAAGCAGGCAACAUCUUCACUGUGCUAGAAAUUACCUUUCAAAGAGUAUGACUAGCAGCUCACCAGUUGAGUUCACAGAUCAAAUGAAGGUGGCCCUGAUUCAGGGUUAAGAUAUGAUCGAGUUGAAGCUAUAAUCAGCUUCUAGCAAUCGGAACCUGCGGAAGGAUCAUUAAAGAGAAUAUGCCCUUCGGGGUAGAUCUCCCACCCUUUGUUUAUAUUACCUU